GCUGAAACCAGGGGGCUCAAUCAGCAGGUGGAAUCUAAGGCAGGACUUGCUCAUCCUCAACGAAGGCCAAAACAUUAGUGAAGAAAACAGAGGAAUCCUAACCAUCCCAGGACAAUCCCAGGAACCAGUUUGAGGUCAUCUGAACUUUGUAACAUGUAAUCAUCAUAUGACCAACUCUGAAAACUGAAAACAUCUUAAAGAUCUAACCUUCUCAUGUCCCCAUUUUAUUGUUUUUUCCAUUAAUUUCCAGGACGUCUAGGAAACGUCUGGCUGCAGCUGGAGUCACAACACGGAGCAGCCCGUGGCCUCUCUGGUCUGCAGGAUCCUGAUCAGGGCCGUGACUGUUUUCAGACCUGCUGAGACCUUAUCCACAGGCUCCUGCAGGCAGAUGAGAUCUGAAGAGGAGACUUCUCUUGUGCUGUUUUCUCUGAACCCUAGAGUUGGUAGUGUGGGGAAAAUCCCAGCAGAUCAGCACUUUCUGAAAUAUUUUGACCAGCCCAUCUGGCCCCAGCCUGUUGACCUGCCGAGCCUGAAAAACACUGGUUAAAACCCUGUUUGAUCUCAAGAACUGAAGAGGAGAUAAUUAUAAUGGAUCAUUAGCAACACAGAUCAAGAAAAGCAGGGUACACCCUUAACAUGUUGCCAUUCUGUCUCAAGGGUUAAAGGUAAAAUAGAGAAUUACAAGUUAAUCCUGUUGAAAGCCUGACAUAACAAACAUGAAAAGCUUUAAAAAUGGCACGAAAGACUGCAGCUGGGUUAGUCCUGACUUUGUGUGGUGUGUGGGUCGAGAAUAAAGUUGUCAUAGUGCUAGCUACCAAUUCACACUACCACAACAUACCAUGCCUCAGUUAAAACCAGUCUUAACUUCUUCAGACAUCGGCCUGCUUGCAGUAACACAAGUGUCUCGGUCACAGCUGUUUACAUCCUCGUCUCUCACGCAGUGCUGACCUGUUGAGAGGUUCGGGGCACAUGUGGAAAUCUGUCUGCCACAGCUAUCUUUAAUAUUUCACACCUCCGUGUGGAGAAUAGGGGGAG
ensembl:lncRNA